rnacentral:rRNA from 1 species
AACGAACGCUGGCGGCAGGCCUAACACAUGCAAGUCGAACGGAUGUAGCAAUACAUUAGUGGCGCACGGGAGAGUAACACGUGGGAAUCUACCUUUUGGUUCGGAAUAACGUCGGGAAACUGACGCUAAUACCGGAUAAGCCCUACGGGGGAAAGUUUUUCGACAAAAGAUGAGCCCGCGCUAGAUUAGCUUGUUGGUGAGGUAAUGGCUCACCAAGGCUACGAUCUAUAGCUGGUCUGAGAGGAUGACCAGCCUCACUGGGACUGAGACACGGCCCAGACUCCUACGGGAGGCGGCAGUGGGGAAUAUUGGACAAUGGGGGAAACCCUGAUCCAGCCAUGCCGCGUGAAUGAUGAAGGCCUUCGGGUUGUAAAGUUCUUUUGGUAGGGACGAUGAUGACGGUACCUACAGAAUAAGCUCCGGCUAACUUCGUGCCAGCAGCCGCCGCGG